rnacentral:rRNA from 1 species
AGAUUAAGCAAAGAAGAGCGCAGGGUGGAUGCCUUGGCACUAAGAGCCGAAGAAAGACGUGAUAAGCUGCGAAAAGCUGCGGGGAGAUGCAAAUAAUCCUUGAUCCGCAGAUGUCUGAAUGGGGAAACCCGGUACGAAGAACUCGUAUCAUCCAUACGCCAAUCCAUAACGUAUGGAGGGGAACCCGGUGAACUGAAACAUCUAAGUAGCCGGAGGAAGAGAAAGAAACAUCGAUUUUGUUAGUAGCGGCGAGCGAAAGCGAAAGAGGCCAAACCGGAGUGCGUGCACUCCGGGGUUCGGACCGCAUUUAAGAUUCAGUGAUUCUAGCAGAAAGGUUUGGGAAAGCCUGCCGGAGAGGGUGAAAGCCCCGUAAGCGAAAGGAGAGCUGACUGAGCGGAAUCCAGAGUACAUUGAGACACGAGAAACCUUGAUGGAAUGAGCGGGGACCACCCCGUAAGCCUAAAUACUACUUAGUGACCGAUAGCGCAUAGUACUGUGAAGGAAAGGUGAAAAGGACCCCGGGAGGGGAGUGAAAGAGAACCUGAAACCCUGUGUUUACAAGCUGUGGAAGUUCUUUAAAUGAACAACCGCGUACUUUUUGUAGAACGGUCCGGCGAGUUGCGGAUACUGGCAAGGUUAAGCACUUAAGGUGCGGAGCCGAAGGGAUACCAAGUCUUAACAGGGCGUUAAGUCAGUAUACGCAGACCCGAAACCGGGUGAUCUAUCCAUGUCCAGGUUGAAGUUGUCGUAAAAGACAAUGGAGGACCGAAGCCACAUCCGUUGAAAAGGGUGGGCAUGAGGUGUGGAUAGGGGAGAAAUUCCAAUCGAACCCGGAGAUAGCUGGUUCUCCUCGAAAUAGCUUUAGGGCUAGCCUCGAUUUAGUCUUAUGGAGGUAGAGCACUGAAUUUCCGCGGGGGCGUCAAAGCUUACCAAAGAAUAUCAAACUCCGAAUGCCAUGUAGAUGAUGAUCGGGAGUCAGACUGCACGAGAUAAGUUGGGCAGUCAAAAGGGAAAGAGCCCAGACCACCGGCUAAGGUCCCAAAGUGCGUGUUAAGUGGAAAAGGAUGUGGGAAUUCGAAGACAACUAGGAUGUUGGCUCAGAAGCAGCCAUACAUUCAAAGAGUGCGUAACAGCUCACUAGUCGAGAGUUCCUGCGCCGAAAAUGUCCGGGGCUGAAACACGACACCGAAGCCGUGGACUCGCAAUGCGAGUGGUAGAGGAGCAUUCUUAAAACCGACGAAGCUGUACCGGAAGGAGCAGUGGAGGGAUAAGAAGAGAGAAUGCCGGAAUGAGUAGCGAGAGAAAGGUGGGAAUCCUUUCGGCCGAAUAUCUAAGGUUUCCAGAGUAAAGCUGAUCUGCUCUGGGUAAGUCGGGGCCUAAGCACAGGUCGCAAGACGUAAGCGAUG